rnacentral:rRNA from 1 species
CGGGUGAGUAACGCGUGAGGAACCUGCCUCAAAGAGGGGGACAACAGUUGGAAACGACUGCUAAUACCGCAUAAGCCCACGGCUCGGCAUCGAGCAGAGGGAAAAGGAGUGAUCCGCUUUGAGAUGGCCUCGCGUCCGAUUAGCUAGUUGGUGAGGUAACGGCCCACCAAGGCAACGAUCGGUAGCCGACCUGAGAGGGUGAUCGGCCACAUUGGGACUGAGACACGGCCCAA